AGCGGUGUCUGUUCGCCUGUCUGAGGAUGUCAUUACGAUCAGUCAGGGCACAGCCCUUCAGGUACUCUUUGGCCUCAGAGGGGAAGUGACAGUGAAGGUCAAGGCCAGCCUGGAAGGCAAGCUGUGCGCAUCCUGUGGAAAUUUCAACGGGGAUAGCGAAGACGACCUGAGGCUACCCAAUGGGAAAAUUGUGGGGAACAUUGAUGAGGUGAUUGACGCCUGGAAAGCCAGAGACUUCUGCGGCUGUGAGUGAUAACCGCAAGGGACCGUGCAACCAGCGCCUCCAGCUACAUCCGUGACCAUCAAUCACAGCCACUUCCCAUGAUACAGCUUCGCACCUACACAGCCUCAACACUCUGUUGUACAAACAAAGAAUGUUAUGCCAUGCAAUCAUGCGAUAAAUGUCAAUAAAGAACCUGCAUAUUGGAAAAUG